rnacentral:rRNA from 1 species
UACGUAGGUGGCGAGCGUUGUCCGGAUUUACUGGGCGUAAAGCGCGCGCAGGCGGCGGCUUAAGUCCUCUGUGAAAUCGCCCGGCUCAACUGGGCGGCUGCGGAGGAGACUGGGUGGCUGGAGGGGCCUAGAGGCCGGUGGAACUCCCGGUGUAGUGGUGAAAUGCGUAGAGAUCGGGAAGAACACCAGUGGCGAAGGCGGCCGGCUGGGGGCGCCCUGACGCUGAGGCGCGAGAGCGUGGGGAGCAAACCGGAUUAGAUACCCGGGUAGUCCACGCCGUAAACGAUGGCGACUAGACCUGGGGGGUAUCGACCCCUUCCGGGUCGGAGCAAACGCAUGAAGUCGCCCGCCUGGGGAGUACGGCCGCAAGGCUAAA